rnacentral:misc_RNA from 1 species
AAAGUGCGAUAAGCAAUGCGAAUUGCAGAAUUCCGCGAAUCAUCAGAUCCUUGAACGCAACUGGCGCUAGGAGGCUCUCCUCCUAGCAUGUCUGUUUCAGUGUCUGAAAACAUCACAAAUUAACUUAAUGUGGUUGAUGAGGGAGGGAUUUAUGAAAAUAAAAACUUUUCCCAAUCUCCCAUGAAAGAUGUACAUGCGGGUCUUUGUGCCCCUCAUCGAAUUUGGUCACUGUCUCUUCAGUGAUUUCGAUAGGGAUAUCAAUUACCCAUUAGGUAUGUACUUUAAAAAACAAACAAAAAACUCUGCAUCUGAAAUCAGGCAAGAACACCCGCUGAACUUAA